GCGCAAGAUCAGUUCGGUGGGCAGGAUGACCUGCGGCGACGCCGGUUCGAGCCCGGCAAUCCGCGCCA
rnacentral:tRNA from 1 species